AUAUAUGUUUGCUUGCUCCAUCUCUUCUUGCUAACAGUACCAAUAAUAAAUACCACCAGCUGGUUCAAACUGAUGGUGUGAUCCAGAGUGCAACAUGCCAAACACAGAGACUUAUUACGUUGCAUAUCGGUAUGUGUAAUACAAACACCCUUUUCAACAUGGCUUGCAGAAAUGUUUGUUUUGCACACACUCUUUAAUUAGUGCACAAUUGUUCCUCGAAAAACUUCAUGCAUGAUGGGUUCGUUCUUCCAUCAGAUUACUACUAUUUCACUCCCUGUUCGCAUAGUCGCAUGCAUGCAUAUGCUUUUCUUCCCCAUAUAUACCAUGGCCAGCCUGUGAUGACUUGCGCGUUGCAAGAUUUAUGCCGACAUGGUCUGAGAAAAAAGUAUCAUCGUGAUAAUAAUCGCAAGAGCUGAGGCUUCAAAACAGGGCCAUAAUUUACCAUUCUAUUCUGCUGCUUGCUUAUUUGUUUUUCACUACACGGACAUAAUUGCAGAGUGCUUGCACACGCAACUAUGCUCCUUCUGUGCUUCUGGACUUUCCUAUCAUGGGCUCUGAAUUGUUGCCCACGUUUUUUCACAAAUAAAUGACCUUUUUAAUUAAUCAUGUUUGCAACAUAUAAUAAAGCUUUAUGACAUCGUAACACUUUGGAAAUUGGAUCAAACUCUAUUCGCAAAACCUUUUUGUGUUGUCUCUAAUGCAUGUACGUGUUCUAUUUUUAUUAGUCUACUACUACUCUUGCUUUUUGAAGUGUAGUCCUCAUUUUAGUUUUUUGCUCAUACAUCAAAAUUUCCUAACUUAUAUGAAAAUAUUUUGACAAUACUCGUAAAGGUGUAUUAACAUUGAUCUACAUAUCAAGACUUAUGGUGGAUUUAAUAAAACUAGCUAAUUGGAUACUGCAUAUUUGUAGUGUUUUUUUUUUGUGGGGAGGGAGGGUUUGAAAUCAUUGGGGUUUUCCCUCAUGGUUCUAUUGGUUCACAAUAUUAAUGUUAUUCCUUAGAAUAAAAUCAUAAAGGUUUCGUUUGAAAUCAAGAUGAGAGAAAUUAAACCCAAGGAAAGCCUACAAAAACUUAGGACAAACUUGCACUGUUACAAAAACAAUAUUAGAAGACAAGAAUUAUUUUUUAAGGAAAAUUCUUAAAAAAUACCUGGUUAUCAUUACCUCCCUCAACUUUCCGAAAAUUCAUUUUUCCUCUCUAAACUCUAAAAUUGGGCAAAACAUCUUCCACAACUUUUAAAACCGUUCAUCUUACCUCCUAGCCUGGUUAUCAGUGGUUUUGAAAGCGGUUUUGUCUUUUUUAUAAAUUUAUUUUCGCUGAAUAUUUAAAAAAUCAUAGUAAGUCACAGAAAAAUCAUAAAAUGGAAAAUCUAAUUUUAUUGGACUCCACAUGAUUAGAUUUACACAGUAAAUAUAUAAUAUGGUAUGCUUUAGUACAAAGUUUUUGACGUAGCUUUAUAUCUAUGUUUUUCUUAAAUUAAAUGGAAUAAUUCAUAACUAUAAUUUCUAUGAUCCAAUUGUGGUGAAACUUUUAUGGUGUGCUAACUAUUAUAACUUAAACUGUAGUAAAAAUUUAUACUCAUUGGAUCAUGCAUAACUUAGUUAUAGAUUUUAUUUAGGUUUAUGUUUGUUAAAUAUAAACAAAUCUAUAACUAAGUUAUACACAUGAUCCAAUGAGUAUAAAAAUUUUAAUACAUUUCAAUCAUAUAAUAAUUAGCCCACCAUAAAAAUUUCAUCAUAAUUGGACCAUAGAAAUUGCAACUAUGAAUUAUUCCAAUUAAUUACAGAAAAAGCAUAGAUCUAAAUCCACAACAAAAACUUUGUAGUAAAACAUAUCAUGUUAUAUGUUCAUUGUGUAGAUCUACUCAUGUGGAGUCCAAUAAAAUUAUAUUUUUCAUUUUAUGAUUUUUUGUAGUUUACAAUAAUUUUUCAAAGAUUCAGUUGAAAUAAAUGAAAAAGGAAAAGACAACCCCCCUUUUAAACUGCUUAUAACAGCGCGAGGAAGGUAAGAUGAAUGGUUUUUAAAAGAAAAGAGAGAUGUUUUACCUAAUUUUAGAGUUCAGAGAGAAAAAAAAUAGGCUUUCACGAAAAUUGAUGAAGGUAAUGUGAAUUUUUCCCUUUUUUUUGAAUGAGACACUUUUAUCGACCCUCCUCUAGAAAUAAGGCCGAGGCCCACACCCAGCAGGCCCACUAAGCAAACUCUUCCCUCCCUCCUCUCCCACUAACAAACGACAAUACUCUUUCUCCCAGCUCUCUUCUCUCUGUUUCUCCCAGCUCUCUUCUCUUGGUCUCUCUCAGCUUACCACUCCCCCUUUUACGUAAACGUCAUUUCUAGAUAUUUAAAAAAUACUGAAAACUAAGUUAUCAAAAUACAAAAUCCCAGAACUGCUUAGAAGGCUGAACUUUUAGUUUCAGGGUCUGGUUUUUGAUGUGGGGACCUCAAGUAGAUCUUAUCAUGUUAAUUGUAGAGAAUAACUUCAAGUCAUUUUGAAUCAUAUCCAACAAAUAAUUUCAUUAACAUUUUAAGGUCUAAGACAAGCUUUUAGUUUUAGGGUCCAACUUUUGACGUAGGACACCAAGUAAAUCUUGCCACGCUAAUUCGCAUUGAGUAACUUAAUGCCGUUUUAAAUCAUAUCCAAUAAAUUUCAGUCAAUUUUGUUAAAAAUUUUAAGGUGUGAACACCAGCUUUUAGUUCCAAGGUUCAGCUUUUGACAGUGCUAAUUGGCAUGAAGUAAUUAAAUUAUCAGCAACAAUUUUUAGUCAAUUUCAAUAGAAUUUUAUCGUGUGAACGCACGAUUUUAAAUCAGGGAUUCUGACUUUUGACAAGGAUCCAUAUAUUUGUGCAAAUAAGAGCUUGAAUUGUAUUUUUAUGUAAACCUGUGGGUUCACUUGGGCCUUGUUUAGUUCACUCCAAAAAUCAAAAUCUUUUCAAGAUUCUCCAUCACAUCGAAUCUUGUGGCAUACGUAUGGAGCAUUAAAUAUAUAGACAAAAACAAAAACUAAUUAUACGGUUUGCCUAUAAAUCACGAGAUGAAUCUUUUGAGCCUAGUUAGUCUAUGAUUGAAUAAUAUUUGUCAAAUAAAAAUGAAAAUGCUAUAGUAUCGAAAUCCAAAAUAUUUUCGGAACUAAACAAGGCCUUUGGCGAAUGAGAGGAAUCGUCAUGGCCUCACAGUCAUAGGGUGAGGUAGCAUCAUGGAAGAUGGUCAUGGGCCCAUGGUGGAACCAUAAGAGCCAUGGUCAGAUGGAUUGAAAUACCCAGACCCAUAUGCAUAAAGUAGAUCCAUCAUUUAUAGUGUAAUGAAGUGUAAACCCAACUCACUGAGGGCCUGUUUAGUUCACACCCUGAAAAGUUUUUAAAGUACUGUAUCACAUACUCUCUCCGUCUACGAAAGAGUCAAUUUCUAGAGUUGUCCUAAGUCAAACUUUUUAAACUUUGACCAAAUUUCUAGAAAAAAAUGCUAAGAUUUAUAGUAUCAAAUUAGUAUUAUUAGAUUCAUCAUAGAAUAUAUUUUCAUAUAAUGUGUAUUUUAUAUUAUAGAUGUUGUUACUCUUUUCUAUAAAGUUAGUCAAACUUUAGCACGGAUUCUAGGAAUUGAUUCUUUCAGGGACGGAGGGAGUAUAUAACUAUAUCAAUUAAUGUCUAAUCAAACUAACUAGACUUCAAAGAUUCCUCUCACAAAAAUACAUGCAAACUGUGUAAUUAAUUAUUAUUUUUAUCUAUAUUUAAAGCUCCAUGCACAUGUUCAAACAUUCGAUAGGAUGGGGUAAAAAGUUUUCAUGUGGAAACUAAACAAGGCCUGAAUCAAAACACAAAAUGGAUAAUAACAGCACAUGCCUGCCAUUAUGUUGCAUUUUUCACAUGGCAGAUUGAACUUUAUUGCCGGCUCAGAAAGUAACAGUGAAACAACAUGACUUUAACGGACAUACACGGUGCCAUGUGAAUUUUCAUAAGUCAGGCCCCUUCUUGUAAUAUGUAUGCCAUAAUUACUGCUGCAAUUGGUAGUGAAGCCAAAGAGAUGACUGACGUAAAGGAAACUGAGAUUAAAAAAAACAUACAUUUCAACCAUAGGAACUUUGGCACUCAGUGGUCACUCUCUGCUACUUAUGACACCACUCUUGUUAUAUUCAUAUAUCUUCUAUUUAAAUGCCUCAGUGCCUGCCGUCAAAGCCACCACUUCUAUCCCAAUUUCUUCUUACAUUUCUUUGUAAACCUCUUGAACCACUAUCUAACUGAUUACCCCUAGCUCUGCGACUCUUAUCCGAGACUGAACUGCCACGGUGCAUAUCAAAAUCGUUGAACCGUUCAUUCCGUUCUGUUCUACCAUAACAGUGCCCACUAGACCGUCUUCCAUUCAAAUUAUGUCUAGUGUCACCGAAGUUAUCCUUGAUGUUCAUGGAAGACUUGGUCCGUGUAGACUGGAACCGAUCAACCAUACCAGAAUCCACAUCAUCAGAAAAUGGUUCAUCAUCACUGUAGGCAAGUGCAUUGUGCCUAACAGAAGCUCUGUUAGGACUUCCCUGACUACGGCUUCCAUUAUUUCUAAAAUCUUUGUCGAUAUCCUCAUCCAGAUCAGAAUUGAUCCCAUCAUCACUCUCUGAUCCGAAAGAUGCCCUUCUAUAGUUAUUUGAACCACUCUGACCUCUGGUUUUAUGCCAGGAAUCAGCAAGAUGAGUCGAUCUAAGGGAAGGGUGAUCCUCAAAUUCAUCCUCAUCCUUGGCUGCAUAUCUGGACUCUCUAUUAUUAUCAUAUCUGGACUCUCUACUAUUGUCAUAUCUGGACUCUCUACUAUUAUCAAUCUCACUAAAACCUUCUGAAUCAGAAGCACUUUCAAGAUCUGAAUAACUCAUCCUUGACACUCCACCUGUCUGACUACCUUUUGACAAGUCAAGUUCAUAACUAUCAAUGUCAUCCUCUUCAUCAUCAAAAUCAUCAAAACCAUUUCUUGAAGAUGGCAAGCUCUCUCUUUCUGAGAACUUAUCCCCUCGUCCUGUAGUCAUUGUCUCAGCCAUUCUAUAUUCCUCAUCCUCAGAGACCUUAGAAGCGCCUCUAUAAGACAUGUCAGCUGAUGAGCUCUCCCUCGCCUUAGAUGAAUCAGCAAACUCAAAUGCAGCAACAUCUGCACCAUCUGACUCGUUAUCAUCAAAAUCAAAGUUCCAUGCACUAGAAACAUCGGACUUGCGUGGAGGUCUUUCCAAUCUUUUCCGCAGUGCAGAUUGCUUUGCUUCCAUUUGGCUGUUGGAGUACUCAUCUGCAGGACGGUCAUGUUCACAAUGGAAACAUGAGAUAUUCCGCCUAUAGUUCAAGAAAUUGCACCUGAAAUUUCAUGUACACGAGUCAGCCCAUAAGCAAUGGCAACAAUAGCACAUAACAAAUUGAUUCAUGAACCACUGGAAUGAGUGUGCUAUUUCUGUUUUCCAUAUUCCUCAAGAUCACUUCUUCAGAGACAUAAGAUGUCACGGAGAACCUUCUUAGAAAUCUUAGUUCUUAGAUACCAAGUCAUUCUUGUUCAUAAAUCAUAAGUGUGUUUGAUUACAGACAACACACAUAGUGCAAACAUGAAUGCAAAUAUGUGUUGUUCAUUCAAUAAAGCUACUACAGAAUGCGCCCGCCGCCAUGAAAUAUACUGAUUCAAGAUAUCAAUUUGUUUCUUCAGAACUAUGCGUGAGUAGCAAACAUGGAUGCAACAAACAUGAACAGUGAAGGGGUUAGUGCAGUGUGUGAUGCCACGUGUAUACAAUUACGACAGAAUAGGACAGAAAAAAAUAGACAUCAAAACAGAAUUCCUAUGAGUAUGCUUACCGAGGGCAUUCCCACUCUCCAGGGAGGAGUUGCCUUUUCGGACGCUUAGCAUCACACUGCAAGCAAACAGUGUUUUUUGCAAAAUUCAUGAAAUCACACCUGCAAAAUAGACCCCAGUAAGUAAAAAUAAUAUUUCUCAAGUCAAUAAGAUUCCAUAAAUCAGAGGCAAGUGACAAAAUUACUUAGGGCAGAGCCAAUCUCCUUUCUUCAUCUCAACAUCAUCACGUCCCACUCGCUUCUUUGGUGGGGGAGGUGGUUGCUUCACUUUAGGAGGAGGCUUCUUUAUUAUAGGGGGUGGGAGAUUAGGAUCAAUAGGAACAGCACUCAACUUUACAAUCUCAUGUAUUAAUUUCCGAACAACAGUCUUCAAAGAUUUUAAUUUGAGAAGAGGUUUGUUCUCUACAGUUUCCUUUAUGUGAUCAAAACCAUAGAUCAACAAAAUGCGCAUAACAUCAAGAGUCCGAGCUUCAUCUUCUUUACGUGUAAGGAUAUAGCCCCUCGUGCAUACAGUUCGUAAAUUACAAGAACUACAUACCUGCAAAUUAGAAGCAAAAAUAAGGAAACCAGAUGGUCAGAUUUUCCAACAAAAUACAAUGUUUGAUGUUCACUUAGGCAUUGCAUUUAAGAGUGGACUGAUAAAUUAUAUGCCCUGGCACUCACAGCCUCUGAUGAUUAUUGCUUACAAUGCUACAUGAACUCCAUAUGCUGUAUAAAAAGUAGUGCACUAGCUAGGAAAAAUGUGAAGAAUAGCAAGGCACUAAGGAAGCAUAGAUUUGACAUCUGAUAAGCUUUAUCUACGUGAGAAAAUAUAAUACAAAUAAUCUGUGUAAAACACAAGUAUUUAGAUUUUUUGAGAAGGCUAAACUGUAACGGAAAUCCCAUUAUAAAUGCAUGAACUUAUAUGAGAAGGGUUACAUAAAAUAAUGAGAGAAUGAAAAAGAACUAUCAAGCAUUAGAGUAAAAAUGCCAUCGAAACAAAAAAGAAGGCACAAACCAGACAAGGUAGAAAGCAAUUUGGAUAGACAAACAUCUGACAUUUUCAACAUGAGAAAGUAAUAUACAUAUAGUAUCAGAGGACACAGACAGAGUACUAAAAUAAUCCACCUCGGUGUGCACAGACAGAGUACUAAAACAAUUCUUGUCAGGCCAGUCUCAGUGGGGGUUUCACCAGGAUGUCAUGCGCAUUUAUUAGAGCGUCAUGUCAGCAAAACUCCACUUUUUGCAUGAAACGAAGAGGAGAGAGAAGGAAGUAGUUUCACCAUGGUGAAACUCCGCUGGCGUUGUUUCCCACGCGGUGAAACAGGAUGAAAUCCCCAUUGAGGACUAAAUCGUUUCACCAUCUUGCAUGUGAUCCAAUCAUUUUGCAGUAAUUAAAUGCUCUGCUCAGCCUAGGAAACAUCAAGGUGAAACUCAUGCAUUGUGGAGGUUGUUUCAUUGUUCGUUUCAUUGAUGCUCUGUCAGCAGAUUUGUUUUGGAAACAGUGCAUUGAAACGGGCCAUUGAGACUGGCCUCAGUAAACAGCGGUGUGCACAAACCAAGGUGUCACUAAUUCUAAGAAAAGGUUAAAAAGAAAUUACCACAUACGCCCCUAUUAAAUGACAUGCUGCAACAAAUCAACCUCACAUAUUUCACAUGGAGGGAUUACUAGUAAAGGCAAAUAAGUCUUAACAAGUAAAUCAUGAAUUUACCAGAAUCAGGCCUCAUUCUGUCAAGACACUUCUACAGAAAUAGGUGAAUUCCCCGCGUGUUGCUGCGGGAUUUUUUUUAAAAAAAUAAAUCAUUAUAUACAUAGCAUUACUAUAUGGUAUUUAGUAUAUUGUGUAUACAUAUAUAUGAAUUUGACUUGCAUGUUAUUUUAUUGUAUCAGAUCUAGUAAAAAAAUUGCUAAGAUAAUACUAAAUAUUUAAUUACAUUAUAGAGGAAUAGGUGAUGAAACAAAUAGUGUAUGUACAUAACUUGUAUGUUAAUAAAUUAAAGAUUUAAAGUAUUUCACAUGAUAUAGAUGACAUGGAUAUUUUUUGUAAUUAAUAUGGGAUGACAUAGAUUUAGUGGGGAAUGAUGUGGAUACCUUGCAUGAAGAGAGAAAUCAUCUAGUGGGGUUUAUCUUUAUAAGAGUAUAUGAUUCAGGGUACAAGUCAAUGGCACUAAGGCAUAGGUUAGGUUGUCAUUUGACAGUGUGAAAAAAAGACAAGAUUGUUUAGCACACAUUCUUUAGAUUGUAUUAAUUAUGUAAUGACCUUAAGCAAAUGAAAAUGUUUGAUUUCAUGAAGCGAGGAUGAAAAAAUCAUCAAAGGUUAAGCAUUCUAUCAUAUCUGUUAACUGUAACAAUUUUUGUUUGUAUGACACCAUGUUCCAAAUGUGUUCUUGGCAGCAGCCUAGGUGGCUUCAGAAUGCUAUGCAGCACCCUUCUGUAAAGCUUUUGAUCAAGUUGGAUGGCGAGGAGAACAUGAUGCAGCCGGCGCAAGGAACAAGGACAGGUAGUCUGCAAAGAGAUGAUGUAGAAAUACCCCUGGAGGGAGACAAUGGGAGGCAGAAAACACAAAGAGACUAGCUAAGAACAGGUGUGGUCCCAGAAGAAGAAAAGGAAGCAACUGGAGGUACAGCCAAAGGCAAUAUGUUUAAGCCACCCACAAUACCCAUCCCCGUCCUCCCUCUCCUUCCCAUCCUGUAUGCUAGGCCAACUGGACAUUAGGCAAAACCAGCUUCCUACCUAGCAUCAUUUCUAACAUAGUCUACCACAUACCGAUAACAUAAUCCAAACCUUUCAUAUCAAAGCAAUCUCUGCUUCAAAUUAUCUUUUGUCUCUGUUUCAUCUAACUCAUUGAUCAUAGAUUCAUAGACUAUCUGACAGAUGAAUCAGGACAAAACAAUUUGGUAUCAAAAGCAUUUAGCUUAUGUUAUUUCAUGUAAACUUGCUUCAGAUUCCUGUUACCAUGACCAUAUCAUGGUGGCUUGGGGCUAAGCUACAACCAAGGAAUAAGUAAACCACAAGAAUGAAGUAUUUUC
rnacentral:lncRNA from 1 species